UAAAUAGCCAGGUUGACUUUUGUCGGCCGCCGGCUUCUUAGAGGGACUUUUGGCUCAAGCCAAUGGAAGUACGAGGCAAUAACAGGUCUGUGAUGCCCUUAGAUGUUCUGGGCCGCAAGCGCGCUA
rnacentral:rRNA from 1 species